rnacentral:rRNA from 1 species
AGCGAACGUUAGCGGCGCGCCUAACACAUGCAAGUCGCACGAGAAAGGGAGCAAUCCCCGGUACGGUGGCGCACGGGUGAGUAACACGUAGAUGACCUUCCCUGGAGUGGUGGAUAACCUGCCGAAAGGCGGGCUAAUACAGCAUGGGACCACAUGGUUUUGACCGAGUGGUGAAAGCGGGCCUCUGUUCACAAGCUCGCGCUCUGGGAUGGGUCUGCGUCCCAUCAGCUAGUUGGUGAGGUAAUGGCUCACCAAGGCAUCGACGGGUAGCUGGUCUGAGAGGAUGACCAGCCACACUGGAACUGAGACACGGUCCAGACUCCUACGGGAGGCAGCAGUGGGGAAUCUUGCGCAAUGGGCGAAAGCCUGACGCAGCGACGCCGCGUGGGUGAUGAAGGCCUGGUGUAAG